ACGAACGCUGGCGGCGUGCCUAAUACAUGCAAGUCGAGCGGAAUGAUGAAGAAGCUUGCUUCUUCUGAUUUUAGCGGCGGACGGGUGAGUAACACGUGGGCAACCUACCUUGUAGAUUGGGAUAACUCCGGGAAACCGGGGCUAAUACCGAAUAAUCCAUUUUGCUUCAUGGCAAGAUGUUAAAAGGCGGCUUCGGCUGUCACUACGAGAUGGGCCCGCGGCGCAUUAGCUAGUUGGUAGGGUAAUGGCCUACCAAGGCGACGAUGCGUAGCCGACCUGAGAGGGUGAUCGGCCACACUGGGACUGAGACACGGCCCAGACUCCUACGGGAGGCAGCAGUAGGGAAUCUUCCACAAUGGACGAAAGUCUGAUGGAGCAACGCCGCGUGAGUGAAGAAGGUUUUCGGAUCGUAAAACUCUGUUGUAAGGGAAGAACACGUACGAGAGUAACUGCUCGUACCUUGACGGUACCUUAUUAGAAAGCCACGGCUAACUACGUG
rnacentral:rRNA from 1 species